AUUGAACGCUGGCGGCAGGCCUAACACAUGCAAGUCGAACGGUAACAGGAAGACGCUUGCUUCUUUGCUGACGAGUGGCGGACGGGUGAGUAAUGUCUGGGAAACUGCCUGAUGGAGGGGGAUAACUACUGGAAACGGUAGCUAAUACCGCAUAACGUCGCAAAACCAAAGAGGGGGACCUUCGGGCCUCUUGCCAUCGGAUGUGCCCAGAUGGGAUUAGCUAGUAGGUGGGGUAACGGCUCACCUAGGCGACGAUCCCUAGCUGGUCUGAGAGGAUGACCAGCCACACUGGAACUGAGACACGGUCCAGACUCCUACGGGAGGCAGCAGUGGGGAAUAUUGCACAAUGGGCGCAAGCCUGAUGCAGCCAUGCCGCGUGUAUGAAGAAGGCCUUCGGGUUGUAAAGUACUUUCAGCGGGGAGGAAGGGAGUAAAGUUAAUACCUUUGCUCAUUGACGUUACCCGCAGAAGAAGCACCGGCUAACUCCGUG
rnacentral:rRNA from 1 species